UAAUACAUUAUUUCACCGUGCAAUUCCUCGAAAGUUACACUAACUCUCUCCCGUGCUUUUAUCCUCAGUACCACCUCGGACUGACCGCUAGGCCUGAACUCUACCUCCUGAACACCGUGGACGCCGUCUCGCUGGUAUCUAGAUGACCAACAGCCCAGAAGACUUUAAGAACACUUUCUCUAAGCCCUUUUGUGCCAAGUGUCUGUUAGCAAAUCCCUUAGUUCAGAGGUGAACUUGUUCAAAUGUUUUGAACCAAGGCGAAGAAGAUCUGGAGGAGUCGGGUAAAGCUAAUGGCUGUGAAUGGGUCAGAGACCCCCUCACCUGCAGCAGUCAUUAACGUAGCGGGAGGCAAACAGCGGGCCUGUGGCAGCCCUGCAGUCCCGCACGCAGGCUUGUGUCUGCACCUCUGGGGUUUAAAAUGUAUGGAUAGAUAUAUUUAUGUGGACCCAAACGUGCCAGUUUGGGUAAGAUUUUAAAGUUAUAAAACUUGAUAGAUUUUUAC
rnacentral:lncRNA from 1 species